GAUGAACGCUGGCGGCGUGCCUAAUACAUGCAAGUAGAGCGCAGGGGCGAGGAGCUUGCUCCUCUGAGGUUAGCGGCGGACGGGUGAGUAACACGUGGAUAACCUACCUAUUAGAGGGGGAUAACUACGGGAAACGAGAGCUAAUACCGCAUAAUAUUUUGAACCGCAUGGUUCAUAAGUGAAAGACGGUAUUGCUGUACCAUAUAGAGGAAUCGGGGUUGCUUUGGCAGGUGGGUAGGGAAAGGCCCUACUAAGCGAAGGUAGCUUAGCCGACCUGAGAGGUGGAUCGCCCACCCUGGAACUGGGCCACGCUCCAGACUCCUCCGGGAGGCGGCAGUAGGGAAUCUUCCGCAUUGGGCGAAAGCCUGACGGGGCAACGCCGCUUGAUGGAUGAGGUUCUUCGGUUCGUAAAACUCUUUUAUUGGCGAGGACCAGAUGUGUAGUUAACUGUUCACAUCUUGACGGUACCUAAUCAGAAAGCCACGGCUAACUACGUG
rnacentral:rRNA from 1 species